rnacentral:rRNA from 1 species
GUUGGCCUCGGAUCAGGUGGGGAUACCCGCUGAACUUAAGCAUAUCAAUAAUCGGAAGGAAAAGAAACCAACAGGGAUUGCCUCAGUAACGGCGAGUGAAGCGGCAACAGCUCAAAUUUGAAAUCUGGCGCAAGCCCGAGUUGUAAUUUGCAGAGGAUGUUUCGGGUGAAGCCACGGUCCAAGUCCCUUGGAACAGGACGUCAUAGAGGGUGAGAACCCCGUACCUGGCCGUCGGUGCCCCCCGCUGUGAAACUCCUUCGACGAGUCGAGUUGUUUGGGAAUGCAGCUCUAAAUUGGUGGUAAAUUCCAUCUAAAGCUAAAUACCGGCCAGAGACCGAUAGCGCACAAGUAGAGUGAUCGAAAGAUGAAAAGCACUUUGAAAAGAGAGUUAAAAAGUACGUGAAAUUGUUGAAAGGGAAGCGCUUGCGGCCAGACUUGCCCGCGGUUGCUCAGCCCGCCUUUUGGCGGGUGCACUCUUCCGCGGUCAGGCCAGCAUCGGUUUGGGCGGUCGGAUAAAGGCGUCGGGAACGUGGCCUCCCCUCGGGGAGGUGUUAUAGCCCGGCGCGCAAUGCGACCAGCCCGGACCGAGGUUCGCGCUUUGCUAGGAUGCUGGCGUAAUGGCCGUAAGCGGCCCGUCUUGAAACACGGACCAAGGAGUCUAACAUCUAUGCGAGUGUUUGGGUGUCAAACCCGUGCGCGUAAUGAAAGUGAACGGAGGUGGGAACCGCAAGGUGCACCAUCGACCGAUCCUGAUGUCUUCGGAAGGAUUUGAGUAAGAGCAUAGCUGUUGGGACCCGAAAGAUGGUGAACUAUGCGUGAAUAGGGUGAAGCCAGAGGAAACUCUGGUGGAGGCUCGCAGCGGUUCUGACGUGCAAAUCGAUCGUCAAAUUUGCGUAUAGGGGCGAAAGACUAAUCGAACCAUUUAGUAGCUGGUUCCUGCCG